UGGCUGGUUACUCAGGUUUUGCAACAUGUAAGGAACUGAAGCUUUCAUGAUCACAAGGGAUGUAUGUUGUCUUUGCAAAAGAUGAUCAAGGUUCUGGUCUAGGUCAGAUUGUGCGUUGGUCAGUUUGAUUGUCGAAGAGAUAUGCAGUGUGGUUUCAGAAAGGUGUAAAGAAUGACAGUUGGUGACACUCUGUUAUCUCAGGUCUAAGGGACGUCUUAGAAGUUGAAGAUGGUAUGUGUGUUCAGGGGCUAUUCGGAUUUUAAUCAAUGGUUCCAGGGUUCGGGUGUGAACAAAAAGUUCCAGAGAAGUGUUCAACGCGAGGAGGCGUUGAUUAGGUUUGGAACGAGAUAGGGUGUUGGUACUUUGAGGCUUCAAAGUCGGUUCAGUUAAGAAGAUUUGAGUUGCAGGGUUGAAGGUUCAGUCACAGAGAGGUUAAGGAUCAGGUUCUUGUGGUUUAAAGGAAGCUUAAGGGAUGAUCGGGGUUAAAAAAGAUCACAAUGGAGCUUGUACCAGCACAUGUUGGUUUCUUGUGGCAAUGAUGUGACGAAAUAGAUGGCGUUCUGUUUUGGGUCAGUGCAAGAAUAUGAGUGAAUCUCAUUGGAUACGUGAGAUGUAAUGUUUCUGGUUGAUAGAAACAUGUUGUAUCUCCACGAAGAAAGAACUAGAGUAAAGGAAAAUUGUGUAAAGGCCUACACAAGUAUAUGUUGGAGCAAAUUGCCAUUUGUGGUAACAACAUGUAGUAGUUCUGGUGAGGUCGUGUGAGUGACAAGAGCAAGCCAUGGGAGAAGGCGAUUCAAGGUUAGAGUUUGCUUGGAGAUUCUGGUCAAAAGCAGAGGAAAAUGCGCAGGAAGAAUCUGGUAGAACAUGUUGAGCGACACUUGUUUAGGAAGCAUUGUUCACUACCACAGCUAGGAGAAGCGUGUGUGAAUUUACCUUUGAGGAAUCGUCAUGAUGGUCUGAGUCAGAAGUUUCAGAGGAACAGACUCAGGAGAAAUAAGGGACGACAGUAUUGGUGCCAUGACCAAAGUCGUCAAGGUGGAGCGCUCGGACAAAGAGGUAAAGCUCUGAAUCAUAAAAAAGGAUGAAGUUGUAAUCUUCCAAAGGAGAAAAUACUUGCGGACUUGACAAGUAUGGAAAUCAGGCUUGGACAGGUCACG
rnacentral:lncRNA from 1 species